CAGCAGCCGCGGUAACACGUAGGGUGCGAGCGUUAAUCGGAAUUACUGGGCGUAAAGCGUGCGCAGGCGGUUAUAUAAGACAGACGUGAAAUCCCCGGGCUCAACCUGGGACCUGCAUUUGUGACUGUAUAGCUAGAGUACGGUAGAGGGGGAUGGAAUUCCGCGUGUAGCAGUGAAAUGCGUAGAUAUGCGGAGGAACACCGAUGGCGAAGGCAAUCCCCUGGACCUGUACUGACGCUCAUGCACGAAAGCGUGGGGAGCAAACAGGACUAGAUACCCCCGUAGUCCCUGUCUCUUAUAA
rnacentral:rRNA from 1 species